UUUGGAAAGAGUUCCAGCUUCAUCACGGAGUUUCUCUCGGUUUGUGGGCUCAUCUAAAGGACCAACGUGGAUCGAGAAGUCAGCGCUCUCAGGAGGCCGACAAUUUUGUUGAAGAAAGAAGUGGAAGAAAAAAUACAACCGUGACGAGUUUGGGAAAGAUUUUACUGUGAAAGCUUCCCUAAAAAUGCAUCAGGUCAUCCACACCGGAGAGAGACCAUUCAGCUGUGGAGACUGUGGAAAGUCUUUUACCAGGUCUGGAAGCUUAAAAAGACA